AAGUGUUGUCACUGAGCAUAAAGGGAAAAACUGAGGCUCACAAACCUGAGACUCAAAAUAAACAGCAGCUAAUAUCCAAUCUCAUGUGAUAUCACGUACUGAGGUGGUUUGAAUAUGCUUGGCCCAGGAAGUAGCACUAUUUGGAGGUGUGGCCUUGUUGGAGUAGGUGUGGCCUUGUUGGAAGAAGUGUGUCGCUGUGGGAGGUAAGUUUAAAGACCUCCUAACCACAGGGGAGCUAGCCUUCUAGAGGCCUUCUGAUGAAGAUGAAGAAUUCCAGCUCCUUCUGCACCAUGCCUGCCUGGAUGCUGCCAUGCUCCAGCCUUGAUGAUAGUGGACUGAACUUCUGAAUCUAACUUGCAAGAGAUAUCAAUGGUUUCAGCGAAGAAAGCCGUUCAUCAAUUCAGACCGUUAAAAACAAAACAGAAGAAAUAGCUCGACUUUUUAAAU